rnacentral:rRNA from 1 species
UCGGAAGGGUCGAGAGACGAGUGCGGUCGAAUAAAUGGGACCCUCGAACGGGGCCUCACCGCCAGUGUCUCGAUCGAUCUGCCCGACGCAAUUCCCUCCGCACUCUGGACGCCGCAACCGGUCGGGUAGCGGCAAGAGUCGGCCACGAGGGCGGGCGAUGGCAGUUGGCCGGGGUGACUUUGGCGUUCGCGCCCUCGUCGCACCCGGUUGUUAGCCGGUCCCGUCCGUGGCACGACACCCGACCGAGGGCAGUUCCCGAACGGGAACGUCUCGUUCGCCCCCUGAAUAGCGGGAGUGCCGACAGGCGUUCCGCGGCGCCGUUUAUGCCGACCCACCCGAGUGGUGGCCGGCGCGCCGUGGACGUCGUUGGUCAGUACUCUAUACUUCCGCGGGGGUGCUCGAGGUUGGCGGCGAGUAGGUCGGUCACCCACCCGACCCGUCUUGAAACACGGACCAAGGAGUCUAACAUGUGCGCGAGUCACGGGGACUUGAAUAGGCCCGGAGGCGCAAUGAAGGUGAGAGAGAGAUGCAAAUUUCUCGGUUGGGAUCCCGUCAAAGGGAGCACCAACGACCCGUCCCGAGUCCGGUAUCCCACCGGCGGGGCGGAGUCAGAGCGUACACGUUGGGACCCGAAAGAUGGUGAACUAUGCCUGGGCAGGACGAAGCCAGAGGAAACUCUGGUGGAGGUCCGAGCGGU